AUCAAAAAGUUCUGGGCCAAAGCC
rnacentral:siRNA from 1 species